rnacentral:misc_RNA from 1 species
CUAAGGAGCACUUCUCCACGAUCGUCCACGUUGGUGGAUGUGGUUGUGGCAGAGACCAUGUCGGACUCGAAUGUAGUCCGGUGGAAGCUCAUGGGUGGAACGCUGACAACUUCUUCGCAUCAACGGCAAUCUUGUGUGGUUGUCGGCGACAGAUAUAUCGACACACUGUUGGGUCCUGAAAGAACAGGCGUUCUUUCCAGGCAAAAAAUACGAUUCGCCCGGAUUUCCUUGACACCUCGGGGUCUUUGAUGUCGAUGGUCUUGGAGUUCGAUCCGGUGUGGGUGUGUUGUUUGAGAACUGCACAGUGGACGCGAGCAUCUUUGUUAGUAAGUGUUUAAGAGCGUAC